UUAAAUUGAAGAGUUUGAUCAUGGCUCAGAUUGAACGCUGGCGGCAGGCCUAACACAUGCAAGUCGAACGGUAACAGAAAGCAGCUUGCUGCUUUGCUGACGAGUGGCGGACGGGUGAGUAAUGUCUGGGAAACUGCCUGAUGGAGGGGGAUAACUACUGGAAACGGUAGCUAAUACCGCAUAACGUCGCAAGACCAAAGAGGGGGACCUUCGGGCCUCUUGCCAUCGGAUGUGCCCAGAUGGGAUUAGCUUGUUGGUGGGGUAACGGCUCACCAAGGCGACGAUCCCUAGCUGGUCUGAGAGGAUGACCAGCCACACUGGAACUGAGACACGGUCCAGACUCCUACGGGAGGCAGCAGUGGGGAAUAUUGCACAAUGGGCGCAAGCC
rnacentral:rRNA from 1 species